rnacentral:rRNA from 1 species
AUACGGAGGGGGUUAGCGUUGUUCGGAAUUACUGGGCGUAAAGCGCGCGUAGGCGGAUUGGUAAGUUAGAGGCGAAAUCCCGGGGCUCAACCCCGGAACUGCCUUUGAUACUGCCAGUCUUGAGUUCGAGAGAGGUGAGUGGAAUUCCGAGUGUAGAGGUGAAAUUCGUAGAUAUUCGGAGGAACACCAGUGGCGAAGGCGGCUCACUGGCUCGAUACUGACGCUGAGGUGCGAAAGCGUGGGGAGCAAACAGGAUUAGAUACCCUAGUAGUCC